GCGACUUUCCUAAGGUUACACAGACAGUAAGGAGCAGAGCCAGGAUCUAAUUCCACAUAGUCAAUCUACAUCUACUUGUGCACAUUCAGUUCAAUUCUGCCUUUAUUUUUCUAUUUAUUUAUUUUUAAAUAGGUUUCAUGCCCAGCGUGGAGCCCAGUGUGGGGCUUGAACUCACGACUCUGAGACCAGGACCUGAGCUGAGAUCAAGUCAGGCGCUCAACCGACUGAGCCAUCCAGCAUGUUCCUCAUUGUUGAAUAGAGCCACGUGUAGAAGGUUCUUCUUCCUAAGGAACUCUAGCGUGCUGCCAAGUUCUGCUAACCUACAGAAGGAAAGAGACUGAAGAAUUGGCGUGAAUCCCAUUUGAUAACAACUUCCACUUCCAGGUACAGUGGAGUUGUUUUAGAGAAGAACAAUGUUCCUGCCACGAACAACUCAAGAAACAAGAUGGUAUAUGGUAUAUGACAUAUAUGUGAUCUCAGAGAGAAGGAAACCACAAAGC